GACGAAGGUGGCGAGCGUUGUUCGGAAUCACUGGGCCUAAAGCGCACGUAGGCGGUGUCGUAAGUCGGGUGUGAAAUCCCUCGGCCUAACCGAGGAACUGCGCCCGAUACUGCGAUGCUUGAGGACCAGAGGGGUGCAUGGAAUUUCCGGUGGAGCGGUGAAAUGCGUUGAUAUCGGAAGGAACUCCGGCGGCGAAAGCGAUGCACUGGCUGGUUUCUGACGCUGAGGUGCGAAAGCCAGGGGAGCAAACGGG
rnacentral:rRNA from 1 species